GUCGUACAUUAAAGAGAGUUGCAAAAACUCUAAGACAGUUCUACUCUUCUAAGUUUUUUUGCUUUCCAGAUAUGGCUAUUUUUCAUAAAAAUGUUAUAUAGAUUAAUGGCUAAUGAGUUUAUUAAGUGUUGAUAAGUGAAUACUUUUUAAAGUUCUCAAAGGCUAUGUGACAAAAAUUUAUAGUGAUAAGGCACAAUAAUAAAAUCUCUGUGGGGGCUUAAUUGUUGUUAAUGUUGUUAAUGUUCCAAACCAAAAAAGUUUGGAAACCACUGUUCUAAAACACGAGAUCACUUAUAAACGCUGCAGGAAGUUGAUGUGCCAGGGUGUUUAUAAGCCCAAGUAUCAUGCUCCACAGAAGGUGGAUGCUGAGUAUGGUGCUCAGGACAUAGGUAUGAAGUUAUAUUGGAACUUGGAGAAAAAACUGCAUUCCAGCUUAGCUAUUUAAAAUACUAAAACAUGAUGCUGUUAAAGUGCUGCACUCAAUAUGCCAGCAAAUUUAGAAAACUCAGCAGUGGUCACAGGACUGGAAAAGGUCAGUUUUCAUUCCAAUCCCAAAGAAGGGAACUGCCAAAGAAUGUUCAAACUAGUGUACAAUUGUGUUCAUUUCACAUGGUAGUAAAGUUCAUGUUAAGAAAAAAAAAAAGAAUCUGGUGUAUAAGUGAUCAUUUAAACAGUAGGUUUGGUUGAAAUGUCCCAGGGAAUAUACACAGUGAGAGGAGAAUGAGGAUAAACUCCCAAGAAAUGGCAACCUGGAAAGACAGACAUAAUGAGUUUGCAAGGAGGAUGAAAUGAAAUGUCUAAAGACAGAGAAAGGAAGUGAGGAGAGUGAAGUGUCACAGAAAUCAAGCAGUCAGCCUUUCAGUAAGAACAAGGUGGUCAGUGAUGUUAAAUCCUGCUCAGGGAUUGAGUAAUAGAGGGCUCUGGUGACCCUGCUGAGAGAUGGUUCAGUGACCUUGAGGGUAAGAGGUGGUCAGAAUUCACAUAUAAACAGUUUUGGAUAAAGCAGAAGGUGAAAAAUUAGAGACAGCAGAUCUCAGAGAAUUCGAUUAAAAGGGAAAAAGGUGAUGUAACUGGAAUUGGGCAGGGAGGGACAAAGGAUGGUUGAGGAUUCUGUAACAGGGAAUAUUAAUAACUAGCUCACAAAGUGACUUUGUAAUCGGGGCAGGGCAGGUAUACUGUUAACACAAGAUCCUUAACACAGUGGUUGGAGGUCCCACUCUGCCAACAGUCAGCAGGGCAUGGUCCUUGGGACGGAGAGUGUGGUGAGAGGCAGAUAGAGCCUUCUCCCAGGGACUCCCCUAUCUCGGCCGGUGGGUGAACUAGGGGGCCGAGGGCAGACUGAUGGCUGUGUCCUGCAGGGUUCCAAAACCUUCACCACGAAGCCCACUGGCCAGGCUUAGGUCUUGUAGGGUCAACAAACGUCUCCGCCAUCCCCACCUAAUGGUGCAGUCUCCAUGGGUCGCAGCCCUUGGGACCCAACAAUGGUCUCCAUGAGGAGCCUGAGCACCAGGUCCUGGGCACCUGGCUGGCUCAGUGAUGUGGGCUGGGCAGAUCUCUGGGAACUUGGCCCUAAGAGUGCCCUAGGCCCGGGCACUGGCAGGAGGAACCAGACUGGAACUGAACGAAAGCUCCCAGGCAGGGUAAGUGGACUGCACAGGGACCCACUUCUCCUAGCCAGGGCCUGACCUCUGAGGGGGGAAGUUGAGCCUUGGAAUCUCACCGUUUCUUGUCAGAACAGAAAAUAACAUUGUUUAGUGGAGGUUUACAGGGAGAUCAUUACCUGUAGACCCCAAGAACAAACGAUGUGACACCAAGAAGUUUGCAACAACUAACCACACCCUGCCUCGCCUUUCCUAGAAAAGGGCUUCUCCGAAAGCUUUGAGGGACCUCAGGUUUUUAAGGCAAGAGCCAGCUUACAUGGUCCUGUAAUAAACCUUUGUCAACACGUCAGAAACCUCUCUCUACUCCAGACUCUGCAAUUUCGGUAUUGUUUGGCCUCGCUGCCUCAGGCACACAGAGUUACUGUAGGUAGCAGCUUCAUAGUCUAUUCACUAAUUAUCUUCAUAAUCUUUGUCUAAUUAAAAGUAUCUCCAGUUAACACCCCUCUCUGUAUUCUCAGCAUCCACUAAUUACCUGACAAAGAUCGUCACAGGAAGAUCUGUAUGUAUUUGUUUAAAUUACCCAUCUUUCUUAUUCUUUCUUAACAUAAAGCAGGCUUUCCUAAUAAACAACAGAAAUAAAGAACUAAUGGUCAUCCCAUUUGAAGGAAGUCUUAAAGUGCUUACUGUGUAGCUAAUUGAUAUCAUCUAGGCAAGAGAAUAACAUAUGAAAAUUCUAAAAAGGACAAGUCAUUUUAAACCUCAUUCCUUGUUCCUCCCUGAAGAGAGGAUGUGCAUUAACAGUAUCUAUUUCAAGGCAGUGGCAGCAGGAAAAGCAGAAGAGAGUCACCACCUGUGGAAGCGCUGAGAAAGGAAUUGAGGUUUGACUGAUGGAAAGAGAAACUCAGUUCAUCCAUGUACAUCAAGUCCAUCUAGUCAAGGCUAUGGUUUUUCCACUGGCCAUGUAUGGAUGUGAGAGUUGGACUAUAAGGGAAGCUGAGCACCGAAGAAUUGAUGCUUUUGAACAGUGGUGUUGGAGAAGACUCUUGAGAGUCCCUUGGACUGCAAGGAGAUCCAACCAGUCCAUUCUGAAGGAGAUCAGCCCUGAAUAUUCAUUGGAAGGACUGAUGCUGAAGCUGAAACUCCAAUACUUUGGCCACCUGAUGCAAAGAGUUGACUCAUUGGAAAAGACUCUGAUGCUAGGAGGGAUUGGGGGCAGGAAGAGAAGGGGACGACAGAGGAUGAGAUGGCUGGAGGGCAUCACUGACUUGAUGGACAUGAGUUUGGGUAAACUCCAGGAGUUGGUGAUGGACAGGAAGGCCUGGCGUGCUGCAAUUCAUGGGGUUGGCAAAGAGUCGGACACAACUGAGCGACUGACCUGAACUGAACUGAUUCUCUUCUCAGCAAGUGAAACAGUGGCUGCUUUGCUGGAGUGUUUUUUAAUUUUUUUUUCUUUUCCUUUGGCAGUAUUAUACCUGAAUUCCUGAUUAGUAUUGUCAGCAAUGAAGUCCUUUCCUUAGAACUCAUGUCUACAUUCAGUAACUGGCUAUAACAGGAAUAUCUCUGCAGAAUCUAAACUAGUCAGGAGCUGUGCUUCUGGUGUUUCAGUCUCUCAGAGAUGUGCUAAGUUUACUUUCAAGUCUCAAAUUGUAUUGUUAAAUCUGUAAAUGGAUCAAUUAGAUGCCAGUUAGGUACCAAUCUCUGCUUUUAUGACUGUAGUUCAUUUCUUAUUGAAAUAUAAUUCAUGGAACAUAAAAGACACUAUUUUAAAAUGUAUAAUUCAGUGGGUUUGAUAUAACAUUGUACAAUCAUUACUGCCAGCUAAUUUCUGAACAUUUUCAUCACCGCCCCCCAAAAUAUCUUGUACCUGUUAGCAGUCACUCCUAAUUUCCUCCAUUUUCUCACCACCAAUAAUCUACUUUCUUUGUGUAUUUGGCUAUUCUGGCUAUUUCAUAUGAAUGAAGUGAAUUGAAAGUCAUUCAGUCAUGUCCAACUCUUUGCAACCUCAUGGACUACAUAGUCCAUGGAUUUCUCCAGGCCCGAAUACUGGGAGUAGGUAGCUGUUCUUUCUCCAGGGGACCUUCGCAACCCAGGGAUCAAACCCAAGUCUGCAUUGCAGGCAGAUUCUUUACCAGCUGAGCCACUGGGGAAGUUCAACAGGCAAAUACACAGUCUACUUUCUUCGUGUAUUUGCCUAUUCUGGUAUUUAAUAUGAAUAGAAGUAUAUAAUAUGUGGCCUGUUUUGUCUGGCUUCUCUCACUUAGCAUAAUGCUUUCAAAGUUCAUACAUUUUGUAACAUGAAUCAGUACUUUAUUCUUUUUAUUGCUGAAUAAUAUUCCAUUGAAUGAACAUAACAAUUACUUUAUCCAUUAAUCCAUUAUGCGGCAUUGAGUGAGUUAUUGUGAAUAAUGCUGCUAUGAAUGUUCGUUUUCUGUGUUAAUUUGUUUUUGAUCCUCUUGGAUAUGUAGCUAAGAGUAGAAUUGCUAGUUUAUAUAACCUUAUGCUUAACUUUUUUGAGAAACUGUUAAAAUAUUUUCCGCAGAGGCAGCACCAUUUUUCAUUCCCAACACAAUGUAUGAAGAUGCCAACUUCUCCACAUCCUCCUGCACAUCUGUUUUUCCCCAAAAAUGUGAAGAAAUAUUUAACUCAACCAAAAAAAGGCAACCCAAUGAAAAUGGACGAAUGACUUAAAUAAACAGUAAAAUGUACAA
ensembl:lncRNA